rnacentral:sRNA from 1 species
UACGUGAUACAUUCAAUGUGUCUGGAUUGUUUCUUUCAGCCGGCGUCAUUGACUGGAUAAUCGCUUUAAUAUGAUCAAUUUGCUUUUCACUCAUAUUAAGCUUAUCUAGCCCUUUCAUUUUAUUCAUACCUGGAAUCAUUUUCAUAAUAUCAUCCAGUGGUCCUAGAUUUUUCACCUGAUCAAGUUGUUCUAAAAAAU